AGUUUCACAGCAUUAAUUUAUUAAAGGACCAAAACAGAAGACACAGCAUAUUCAGGAAAGGAGAUACUUAAGGCAAACAUAGAGCUUCCCUAAGGACUUUCUUCAGCAGCCAAAGAAUGCUGUCCAGUAUUAGACUCAAGAGGGGUUUUGUCAGAGCACCUGACAGCCACCUUGAGAAUAGAUUUUACAAUGAGGUCCAAGGACUUGACCCUGAGAUCUGUGAGUUAUCCCAUCAAUACGCUAUGAUACAAGCUGUGUACAUACAGCCUGUGUGGAAUACAGUUGUACUAUAUAAUGGAGAUUGGCAUGCCAGGAAGUGAAGAC